UACGGAGGAUGCGAGCGUUAUCCGGAUUUAUUGGGUUUAAAGGGUGCGUAGGCGGAAUAUCAAGUCAGCGGUAAAAAUUCGGGGCUCAACCCCGGCCUGCCGUUGAAACUGGCGGCCUCGAGUGGGCGAGAAGUAUGCGGAAUGCGUGGUGUAGCGGUGAAAUGCAUAGAUAUCACGCAGAACCCCGAUUGCGAAGGCAGCGUACCGGCUCUACACUGACGCUGAGGCACGAAAGCGUGGGUAUCGAACAGG
rnacentral:rRNA from 1 species